rnacentral:misc_RNA from 1 species
GUAUUUAAAGUUUUAAAGGCAUUCAAAGCCCAACAACAAACAUUCUGAGACAUACUAUAGGGGUGUAUAUAAACAUAGACCGGAGGUACAAGGAAAGCCGGCUUGCGCACGGCAAUCCUCAAAACCGAGUUUCCUCGAGAGAUAUCCAGGUCUACAAAAGGUGCACAGGUGGUAAAGGUUGGUUGUCAGGUGUGCACAUGCUCCGGAGAGCCAGCAACAACCCAACCAAGCUUAUUCAAUAAUGAUCCUUCCGCAGGUUCACCUACGGAAA